rnacentral:rRNA from 1 species
GACAGAGGGGGCAAGCGUUGCUCGGAAUUACUGGGCGUAAAGCGUGCGCAGGCGGUUCUGAAAGUCAGCUGUGAAAGCCCCGGGCUUAACCUGGGAAUUGCGGUUGAAACUACAGGGCUAGAAUCUGGCAGAGGGGGGUGGAAUUCCACGUGUAGCAGUGAAAUGCGUAGAGAUGUGGAGGAACACCGAUGGCGAAGGCAGCCCCCUGGGCUGAGAUUGACGCUCAGGCACGAAAGCGUGGGGAGCAAACAGG